CACACCUAAAAAACUUUCCACGUGAACCGUUUCAACCCAAUAGUUGGGGGUCUUAUUUGGCGGCGGCUGCUGGCUUAAUUGUUGGCGGCUGCUGCUGAGUGAGCCCUAUCAAAAAAAAAGGCGAACGUUUGGGCUUCGGCCUGAUUUAGUAGUCUUUUUUUCUUUUAAACCCAUUCCUUAAUACUGAAUAUACUGUGGGGACGAAAGUCUCUGCUUUUAACUAGAUAGCAACUUUCAGCAGUGGAUGUCUAGGCUCGCACAUCGAUGAAGAACGCUGCGAACUGCGAUACGUAAUGCGAAUUGCAGGAUUCAGUGAGUCAUCGAAAUUUUGAACGCAUAUUGCACUUCCGGGUUAGUCCUGGAAGUAUGCCUGUAUCAGUGUCCGUACAUUAAACUUGACUUUCUUCCUUCCGUGUAGUCGGUGGAGGAGAUGUCAGAUGUGAAGUGUCUUGCGAUUGGUCUUCGGACCGGCUGCGAGUCCUUUUAAAUGUACUAAACUGAACUUCUCUUUGCUCGAAAAGUGGUGG
rnacentral:rRNA from 1 species